CCUUUCCUGGGGGGCUCCCAUCUCUCUCUCUCUCUCUCCAACCAGCCUUCUUUCUCAGCACUUUAUUUACUCACACACGUUCAUCUCAGCCACUUCACUCAUACCAAGCACAAUCCACUAGCUCAAGCCACACAGCUCUUGCUAUAUAAUAUAUAAAGAGUUCAAUUGUUAUUUAUAACUCAUAUAAUUAGUCCAAAGUCUAUUUGUGGUUUGGUUUUAUUACAGUAUAUUUCUAUCUUAAAAUGAUAAAAAAUAUUAUAUUGUCACCAAAGUGGUCAUUGAGGAUUACAUGGUUAAUGUUUUAUACAAUUUAAUUCUUUAAAAUAAAAAAAUAUAUAUCACACAUAACUUUUGAUUUAUUCCUCACAAAUCAGUAAUUUUACAAUUCAGGAUAAUUGGGAUAUAUGCUAAUUACAUCAUUCCAAUAGCUAUUUAUAAUUCGUAUAACUACGUAAAAUUCAAUUUAGGGUUAUUACUCAUUAAUUUAUAUAUUAAAAUAAGUUCAAAUAUUAUAUUGUUACCAAAACGGCGUUUGUGGAUAAUACAUGUUCAAUGUUUUAUACAAUUUUAAUUAUUAAAAAUAUAUAUUUAAUUUAAAUAUAUGUACCUUUCCAGUUAAGUGUCACAAAUUGAAUUAUGGGUAAUAUGAAAAUAUAUGGGAUAUGGAGAAACCCAUUGAAUUAUUCUGCCGUAAACACCGCAAUUAACCACCAGGGGGAGAUGUUCAGAAACUGCAUGCAAUCUUGUAUUUGACCAAAUGUAAACAAUUAUCAUUUUGUCUACGAACAUCCGAUCCAGACGCAUGAUACGUCUUUGGAAAGCCACAAAACGGCUUUUUUAUAUAAAAAAUAAUAACCCCUGCAUAUUGAGCUACAGGACACAGCACGAGCAGUGAAACCAGGGUCCCCACAGACUUCUAUCAGGCGCGUUCACGGUCAUAACAAAGCCUACGUCAGCAUGCGCGCUUCACAGAAUGUCCGCCCCCAUGCUUGCCUGGAGUUUCACAUCGCAAUAGGAUUCUCCUCAGGUCUGUGAGGAUGAGAAGGUCUCCACAGUCUGGAGUCUGGUCUCUGACAGGCUCAACAUACCUGUCAAUCAACAGGGACUCCUCUACAAAGGCAAGGCGCUGGCAGGUAGGCUGAACAGCACAGCACAGCACAGCACAGCACAGCUCACCCCUCCUCUCACCCCUCGCCUCAUCCCUCCUCUCACUCCUCGCCUCACCCCGGGUCAGUGUGGCACAGCCUGCCUGCUCUUCUGAACAAACACUUCAGCCCUGCCGACGCAGUGAGAGUCUGGAGCAGCAACACAAGGUAACCUGAACACAAACACACACACACACACAGACACACACAAACACACACACAGUGAGAGGCUGGAGCAGCUACACAAGGUAAAUUGAACACAAUAAACACGGCUACACACACAAUCCUAGCUGCAGCAGAUGUACAAUGUUAUACAGACACACACAGACACAGCUGUACAGUGACACAGAGACGCACACACAAUCACAGCUGCAGCAUACACACUCUGAAAUGCAGGUGUAGAGCAGCGUGUAGUUGUGACUCUGUGUCUCUCUCCUCCCCCUCUCCUCUCCUCUCCUUACUUUGUUUAAAAGAAUAGAAGCACACCCAGUGAGCAAGGCAUUGAGCAGCCCCACAUCCCGCUUCACAAUACCGCUACAUAUUGACUGACUGUUCGCAUUGUGUGUGUUUGGUAAGACAAACCACAUUUUCUACUUCUACUUUCUACGAUUGGGCAAGUCAGCGGUUGUUUGAUAACAGAACAUAAAACAUCACAGAGUGGGUUGAACUGCAUUGCUGGAAAUCAAGGCCCUUUAAAAUGUGUACCUUCCCAGCUCAGGUAUUGCUGAGGUAAAGAGACACUUCCUACAGGAGGACAGGACGUUGUCAAGGAGGGGAUGUCGUCACGUGUCCUGAGGGCUUUCUUAAAAACAUUGUUUUAUUAUUUCUAAGCGUACGUUGUUAUUGCCUUUUAGCUCUUGAGCAUAAUAAUCUCAAUCCCGUUUGAAAUGACACUAAGUGCAUUUGCAUGGUGGCAGAUGAGGGAUGUCGCUUCACUCGAGGCUUGCGUACUGAUGAAGAUGUAGUUUCAGUGUUUAAUGCUCAUCCCCUCACUGUGUGUCUGUGUGUGUUCUUGUCUCUCGCCUGUCCUGUGAGGAUGAAGAUGUAGUUUCAGUGUUUAAUGCUCAUCCCCUCACUGUGUGUCUGUGUGUUCUUGUCUCUUGACAGGUCUGUGAGGAUGAGAAGGUCUCCACAGUCUGGAGUCUGGUCUCUGACAGGCUCAACAUACCUGUCAAUCAACAGGGACUCCUCUACAAAGGCAAGGCGCUGGCAGGUAGGCUGAACAGCACAGCACAGCACAGCACAGCACAGCUCACCCCUCCUCUCACCCCUCGCCUCAUCCCUCCUCUCACUCCUCGCCUCACCCCGGGUCAGUGUGGCACAGCCUGCCUGCUCUUCUAAACAAACACUUCAGCCCUGCCGACGCAGUGAGAGUCUGGAGCAGCAACACGAGGUGAUGAAGUGACACUUUGAAUAUGGGGCCUGAUGAGAGAAGUAUCCUUUUCAUGUGGUUUUGGUUUUGCCGUUGUGAGCAGGUGUGGGAGACAGCACCGUGUCUGCAUGUGAAAUAACAAAGUCAUCGCAGUGGAGGGACUCUCUGAAGGCUGCUGUUUGUGGAUUUGUCUUGUAAUGUGAGUGAUCUACUGUACUGUGAUGCCACUGGCUGUACGCAUGCUGCACUGCAGGGGAGAGACCGCUGGCAUUCACAGGGCAUGCUUGUUCAUUUAAAGCACGCUGCACUGCAGGGGAGAGACCGCUGGCAUUCACAGGGCAUGCUUGUUCAUUUAAAGCACGCUGCACUGCAGGGGAGACACCGCUGGCAUUCACAGGGCAUGCUUGUUCAUUUAAAGCACGCUGCACU